AAGACAAGCCUGCGAGCGAUGCAACGUGGUGGUGCAUUUGAGGUCUGUGAACGUGAAACAAGUGCCCAAGCAGCUAGCUUGUGUUGAUCUUUGUGCUAGCAUUGCUUCACAAGGCACUGGUGUUUGUUCUGGCUCUACUAGAGGCAGGCGUACACUUAGACUGCAGACCUACUGCCAAUAAUCAUCUUUCUGAAGAGAUUGCUAGGACUGACAGAAAUAACGAG
rnacentral:lncRNA from 1 species